ensembl:snRNA U6 U6 spliceosomal RNA
GUGUUCACUUUGGCAGCACAUGCACAAAAAUUGGAACAAUACAGAGAAGAUUCAUAAGGUGUCUGCGCAAGGAUGACAUACAAAUUUGUGAGGUGUUCCACAUAAAA